CCCUAGUAACGGCGAGUGAAGAGGAAAGAGCUCAAAGUUGGAACCUGUUUGGCUUAGCUAAACCGGAUUGUAAACUGUAGAAACAUUUUCCAGAUACACUAGACAAAAAAGUCCUUUGGAACAGGGCAUCAUAGAGGGUGAGAAUCCCGUCUUUGGUCUAAGUAGUUGUCUAUUGUGAUAUGUUUUCAAAGAGUCAGGUUGUUUGGGAAUGCAGCCUAAAUUGGGUGGUAAAUCUCACCUAAAGCUAAAUAUUUGCGAGAGACCGAUAGCGAACAAGUACCGUGAGGGAAAGAUGAAAAGAACUUUGAAAAGAGAGUUAAACAGUAUGUGAAAUUGUUAAAAGGGAACCGUUUGGAGCCAGAUUGGCUUGAUUGUAAUCAACCUAGAAUUCGUUUUGGGUGCACUUGCAGUCUAUGCCUGCCAACGACAGUUUGAUUUGGAGGAAAAAAUUAAUAGGAAUGUGGCCUUUCGAGGUGUUAUAGCCUAUUAUCAUACUCUGGAUUGGACUGAGGAACGCAGCGAAUGCCUUUAGGCAAGAUUGCUGGGCGCUUUCGCUAAUAAAUGUUAGAAUUUCUGCUUCGGGUGGUGCUAAUGUUUAAAGGAGGAACCCGUUUAGUAUAUUUUUUAUUCGCUUA
rnacentral:rRNA from 1 species